AUGACACUGAGAUGUGAGGCAAGGUGGACACACCUGACGGGAGAGAGAGGCUGCAAAUAGAUUUAGACAGACUACAAAA